UGUGUAGGCGGUCGUGUUAGUCGAUUGUGAAAGACCUUGGGCUUAACCCAGGGGACGCAACCGAAACGGCACGACUUAGAGGACGCGAGAGGUAAGGGGAACUCAUGGUGUAGGGGUGAAAUCCGUUGAUAUCAUGGGGAACACCAAAUGCGAAGGCACCUUACUGGCGCGCUCCUGACGCUGAAACACGAAAGCGUGGGAAUGAACG
rnacentral:rRNA from 1 species